rnacentral:rRNA from 1 species
GACGAACGCUGGCGGCGCGCUUAACACAUGCAAGUCGAGCGAAGCGGCGGACGGGUGAGUAACACGUGAGUAACCUGCCUUAGACAUUGGGAUAGCCUCGGGAAACCGGGAUAAAUACCAAAUGGUCUAAGAUGGACUAGCGUCCCAUUAGCUGGUUGGUGAGGUAACGGCCCACCAAGGCGACGAUGGGUAGACGGCCUGAUAUGGUGAAUGGCCACAUUGGAACUGAGAAACGGUCCAAACUCUACGGGAGGCAGCAGUAGGGAAUAUUGCACAAGGGAGGGAACUCUGAUGCAGCGACGCCGCGUGAACGAAGAAGGCUUUCGAGUCGUAAAGUUCUUUUAUAUGGGAAGCGUUACCAUAAGAAAAAGCCCCGGCUAACUACGUGCCAGCAGCCGCGGUAAUUC